AAGACUAUACUUUCAGGGAUCAUUUCUAUAGUUCGUUACUAGAAAGAAAGCAGAAGUAUAAUCUUUUUGUUGGGUUUGCAGGAGAAGGAUGCUAAGCUUCUAAGGAAGAAGAAAAGAAGAAAUGAAAAUUAUUUGCUAAUAUCCCAGCGGUUCUUUUAUGAUAUGCAAGACACUAUCAGCAUCUGACUUGGUUAUUGCUGACCUGC